rnacentral:rRNA from 1 species
CCCGUAGGGUGCGAGCGUUGUCCGGAAUUAUUGGGCGUAAAGGGCUCGUAGGCGGUUUGUCGCGUCGGGAGUGAAAACCCAGGGCUUAACUCCGGGCCUGCAGUCGAUACGGGCGGACUUGAGUGUUGCAGGGGAGACUGGAAUUCCUGGUGUAGCGGUGAAAUGCGCAGAUAUCAGGAGGAACACCGGUGGCGAAGGCGGGUCUCUGGGCAACUACUGACGCUGAGGAGCGAAAGCGUGGGGAGCGAACAGG